CGCUGGCGGCGUGCCUAAUACAUGCAAGUAGAACGCUGAAGAGAGGAGCUUGCUCUUCUUGGAUGAGUUGCGAACGGGUGAGUAACGCGUAGGUAACCUGCCUUGUAGCGGGGGAUAACUAUUGGAAACGAUAGCUAAUACCGCAUAACAAUGGAUGACACAUGUCAUUUAUUUGAAAGGGGCAAAUGCUCCACUACAAGAUGGACCUGCGUUGUAUUAGCUAGUAGGUGAGGUAACGGCUCACCUAGGCGACGAUACAUAGCCGACCUGAGAGGGUGAUCGGCCACACUGGGACUGAGACACGGCCCAGACUCCUACGGGAGGCAGCAGUAGGGAAUCUUCGGCAAUGGGGGCAACCCUGGCCGAGCAACGCCGCGUGAGUGAAGAAGGUUUUCGGAUCGUAAAGCUCUGUUGUAAGUCAAGAACGAGUGUGAGAGUGGAAAGUUCACACUGUGACGGUAGCUUACCAGAAAGGGACGGCUAACUACGUGCCAGCAGCCGCGGUAAUACGUAGGUCCCGAGCGUUGUCCGGAUUUAUUGGGCGUAAAGCGAGCGCACGCGGUUUGAUAAGUCUGAAGUUAAAGGCUGUGGCUCAACCAUAGUUCGCUUUGGAAACUGUCAAACUUGAGUGCAGAAGGGGAGAGUGGAAUUCCAUGUGUAGCGGUGAAAUGCGUAGAUAUAUGGAGGAACACCGGUGGCGAAAGCGGCUCUCUGGUCUGUAACUGACGCUGAGGCUCGAAAGCGUGGGGAGCGAACAGGAUUAGAUACCCUGGUAGUCCACGCCGUAAACGAUGAGUGCUAGGUGUUGGAUCCUUUCCGGGAUUCAGUGCCGCAGCUAACGCAUUAAGCACUCCGCCUGGGGAGUACGACCGCAAGGUUGAAACUCAAAGGAAUUGACGGGGGCCCGCACAAGCGGUGGAGCAUGUGGUUUAAUUCGAAGCAACGCGAAGAACCUUACCAGGUCUUGACAUCCCGAUGCUAUUUCUAGAGAUAGAAAGUUACUUCGGUACAUCGGUGACAGGUGGUGCAUGGUUGUCGUCAGCUCGUGUCGUGAGAUGUUGGGUUAAGUCCCGCAACGAGCGCAACCCCUAUUGUUAGUUGCCAUCAUUCAGUUGGGCACUCUAGCGAGACUGCCGGUAAUAAACCGGAGGAAGGUGGGGAUGACGUCAAAUCAUCAUGCCCCUUAUGACCUGGGCUACACACGUGCUACAAUGGUUGGUACAACGAGUUGCGAGUCGGUGACGGCAAGCUAAUCUCUUAAAGCCAAUCUCAGUUCGGAUUGUAGGCUGCAACUCGCCUACAUGAAGUCGGAAUCGCUAGUAAUCGCGGAUCAGCACGCCGCGGUGAAUACGUUCCCGGGCCUUGUACACACCGCCCGUCACACCACGAGAGUUUGUAACACCCGAAGUCGGUGAGGUAACCUUAUGGAGCCAGCCGCCUAAGGUGGGAUAGAUGA
rnacentral:rRNA from 1 species